GGCCUGUUCAGCCCUCUAGUCAGUUUCCUGCUGGUACUCAUAUUUCUCACUGAGAUCAAGAGGAGUUCUUCUCCCAGAUCAAGGGCUGCACAUGGAUCAUAACUUCUAAAAUAAUGUACUGAAUUGCAUUUUGAAAAGCUUGUCCAAUGAAUGAUAAAAGAACGAAACCCUAAACUAAACCGAUUCUUCUUGGACUAUCCAGUCCAAAGCAAUCUCAGGCUUGAUGUUGGGCUUUAAAGAAAGAGUAGUCCUCUUCCCACUCCACUGGAUGGCUACUUGAAGAUGCAAUGGAGGCCAAAAAAAAAAAAGGAAAAAGGUGAUGCAGUAACUACCUGCUGCAAGGAGAAGCCCCACUGAGGAAUGAUAGUUCCACCUCUCCACUCAAAGUGAAAUUGGGGCUGGAAGUGUGCAACAACCCCACAAGUGCCCAGGAUAUCAGUGUUAUCAACUACUCUCCUGCUCCCUUCUCUCCCAGUCCUCGUCAUGAAAGACUCGGUUCUGGAUUCAGAAAGAAAAUAAACAUCUGGUCUUCUACAAAGUA